CACUCGCGCGGCGCCAGCCUCCCGAGCGCCCCGGCAUUUCCUCGGCGGGGAGCGCGAACCCGAGGCAGACGCGCGGAGAACGAAGUACGCAUGUGCGCCGCGAGCCUCGGAGCCCCUCAAGACCCUGGGCGGACCCCGCGCCGGGCGGGCGACCGAGCCUGGGACUACGUUUCCCAUAAGCCCUGGCGCCACGCCCGGUUUGAGGAGUUUCCCCUGAAGGGCAGAGGUCGCUCUCAGGGUUUCUCCCAGGGCCUUGUGGGGCCUGGUCGUUUCCGGACCGCGGGGCGCUGCCAAAUGAUGCAGUGUGACGCGAGGCUGUCGAAGGCAUCCGUCUAAGAGAAUUUUAUUUUUAAGUAAUCUCUACACUCAAUGUAGAGCUCAAACUCACAACCCUGAUAUCAAGAGUUGCACACUCUAUGCUCUACAGACAAAGCCAGCUAGGUGCUCCUGAAUGGAACACUUUUAAAAGUUCUUACAGCUGAUCAAAGGACAGCCUGCAAUGACUCUUCUUGGCCCUCCGCCAACCCUCCGGGACUGACCUGCCACUCCCCUAGCCUGUCGCACUGCCCCUAGGGAGCGCAAAGACUCCACGACCCUGGAAGCGCCACCCACGCAGAGAAGGGACCUAAGCAAAGACAAUUUACAGACCCGGAGUGAAAGUGAGCACGCGUAAAAGCAGCCCGGAAGGUCUGAAACCAGAGUGAAAACUACAUUUCCCAUAAGUCUUUGCCUCGGCAUCUUUUGGGUGUUUAACAAACCACCACCUUAUUCCCCCAGCUCUUUUUGGUUUACAAAUUGACCAAUCUAGCCUUACCCAAGGAGCUCCAAAGCAUUUUAUUCAAAGAACGCAAUAAAGGUUUGUGGCCUAGGUGAUGCCUCCCUCUCUGCCUGCAGCCUGCCUUGACCUUCCUACUGGCUCCAAGGCCGUCUGGAGGUCAGAAUCGGAAAUGAGUUUCACUGGACUGAAAUCAAGGUGUUGGCAGAGCCAAUUGCCUCCAGAAGCUCUAGAGGACAAUCCUUUUUGUACUUUUUCCAGCUUCUAGAAGCUUCCUACAUUCCCUGGUAGAGACCCAUAAUCCACAAGAUUAUAAAUCCCCCAGGCAUUUAUAGAACUAUCUGGUAGCGUUUGGAUUUCUACUGAACUCUAAAUUGCAGGGAAGAAAUUGCAGGGAAGCAAACUUUGUAUCAUUAAGGGCAGACAUCAGAGUCAGGUAGAAGCCAUCUUCCCAACUUGUUUAUCACUAAAACAAGAGACUUAUUAGAUUUAACAAGAAUGAUAUUCUAAAGUGCUUGGUUUGGCGCUAAAAUGAGUUUAACCAUUACCAACUGUCCUAGAGUGAGAAAUAUUAGAGGUAAGUAUCUGUUGGACAGUUAGUCAACUCUUCUCAGGUAUUGCUAUACAUCACUUGCACCCAGAAAGCAGAGCUCAUUGAUGCAAAGUAUUUCCCUGGAUUAUGUGAUGUGUUUAUGUGAGGCCUGUUUAACAAUCUCCAGAGAUUAUGGUUACUAGAGUGUCUUCUAACCCAUCUCUCUAUCCCAUCCCUCCCUACUCUGGGAGAGAUCUCCGCACUUCUUGGGGCUCUAAAGUGUGGGACAGCUUGGAUGUUUACAGAGAAUGACAAGAAGCAUCAAAUCCAGGAAAACAGAUGCUCUUUAGUAUUGAAAAUGCUACUGCCAGGGGUGCCUGGGUGGCUUAGUCGGUUAAAUGUCCAACUCU